rnacentral:rRNA from 1 species
AGAAUUUGAUCUUGGUCAGGAUGAACGCUGGCGGCGUGCCUAACACAUGCAAGUCGAACGAGGGUCCUAAACCUGAGAUUCGUCGAAGGGGAAGGAAUUCCGAGUGGCGGAUGGGUGAGUAACGCGUGGAGAACCUGCCCUUUGCUGGGGGAUAACAACUGGAAACGGUUGACAAUACCGCAUAAGCUCGAUGGACCGCAUGAUCUAUCGAGGAAAGAUUUAUCGGCAGAGGAUGGCUCCGCGUCGGAUUAGCCAGUUGGCGGGGUAACGGCCCACCAAAGCGACGAUCCGUAGCCGGCCUGAGAGGGCGACCGGCCACAUUGGGACUGAGACACGGCCCAGACUCCUACGGGAGGCAGCAGUGGGGGAUAUUGCACAAUGGGGGGAACCCUGAUGCAGCCGACGCCGCGUGAGUGAAGAAGUGCUUCGGCAUGUAAAGCUCUAUCAGCAGGGAAGAAGAUGACGGUACCUGCACAAGAAGCCCCGGCUAACUACGUGCCAGCCGCCGC